ensembl:lncRNA
GGAGGAGAGGGGAGGAGAGGGGAGGAGAGAGGAGAAGAGGAGAGGAGAGAGGAGGAGAGGGGAGGAGAGGGGAGGAGAGAGGGGGAGAGGAGAGGAGAGAGGAGGAGAGGGGAGGAGAGGAGAGGAGGAGAGGAGAGGAGAGAGGAGGAGAGGGGAGGAGAGGAGAGGAGAGGAGAGAGGAGGAGAGGAGAGGAGAGGAGAGGAGAGGAGAGGGGGAGAGGAGAGGAGAGAACCCUGUGCAUCUACGAGCGCUUCAUCUGAGCCGUCAGAUAUCUCACAGAAUAGAGAUUAUCCAGCGGUGCAGCACUCUUAACUACAUCUCCAGAGUCUCUAAACGGUACAAGAUUCAUCCCUGCUUGAGUACUCCAGAAUAUUACACACAGCAUAGUGUUAUGCCUGUCGACAUCUUAGCCCUCCUGAUAGCCCAGAGUCAGGUUUUGAGAGUGUUUUCAAAACCUGGAAGAAGGCAACCUACAAGGAAGCGUGAUCAGAGCGCCACGAGCAAGACAUGGCUGCAUGGAAAGACUGAGACAGCAGUGAAAAACACCAGAACUCUGCUAAAUGUCUUAAAGAACACGACAAGCAGAUUAAAGACAACCGGAAUAUAUGAAGUACUACUACUAACAUUGCACAAGGGGGACAAGAUGAGUCAGCAGAAUCAGACAACUGGGGCAGCUUCAUAGCAGUCUUGGAAACGACUGCCAAACAUGACAAAACUUUAAAAAAAAAAAAAAGGGUUGUAUUCUAUCCAUCAUGCCAAAUACACCAGCAAAGCAAUUCUGAAUGAGGUUCUUAGUUGUUUGGCUGAUAUGGUUUGAACAAAAGUAACAGAAGAAGUAAAACAGAGCAAAGUCUUCAGUGUUAUGGCUGAUGAAACAAGACAUUAUAAAAAGAAGCAGAUAUCGUGGGUACUCAGGUACUAUUACAGUAAAGUUUUCUCCAUUUUGAUUCAGCUGAUCAGGUAAACGCAGCUGGGCUGACUGAAAAGAUUAUCCACAUGUAAGAAAGCCAUGGUCUAAUACAGAGAACAUUUAGUAGGCCAAUCCUAUGAAUGUAUAGCUCGGGUAUUGAGGAUUUGGGGCAUGAAGUACAUCAGUUCAGAAGGAUUCUAGACAGAAAAAUAAAAGUACAGUGGAGCUCUUGAGUUCUUUAAAC